rnacentral:rRNA from 1 species
GAUGAACGCUGGCGGCGUGCCUAAUACAUGCAAGUCGAGCGAACAGACGAGGAGCUUGCUCCUCUGACGUUAGCGGCGGACGGGUGAGUAACACGUGGAUAACCUACCUAUAAGACUGGGAUAACUUCGGGAAACCGGAGCUAAUACCGGAUAAUAUAUUGAACCGCAUGGUUCAAUAGUGAAAGACGGCUUUGCUGUUACUUAUAGAUGGAUCCGCGCCGCAUUAGCUAGUUGGUAAGGUAACGGCUUACCAAGGCGACGAUGCGUAGCCGACCUGAGAGGAUGAUCGGCCACACUGGAACUGAGACACGGUCCAGACUCCUACGGGAGGCAGCAGUAGGGAAUCUUCCGCAAUGGGCGAAAGCCUGACGGAGCAACGCCGCGUGAGUGAUGAAGGUCUUCGGAUCGUAAAACUCUGUUAUUAGGGAAGAACAAAUGUGUAAGUAACUAUGCACGUCUUGACGGUACCUAAUCAGAAAGCCACGGCUAACUACGUG